rnacentral:rRNA from 1 species
GGUAUGCUUAACACAUGCAAGUCGAACGGUAGCGCCGGGGGCUCACGCUCCCGGCGCAGAGUGGCGGACGGGUGAGUAAUGCGUAGGAAUCUGCCUUAUAGUGGGGGAUAACCCGAGGAAACUCGGGCUAAUACCGCAUAAUCUCUACCUUUUUUUAGAUAGAGUAAAGUGGGGGAUCUUCGGACCUCGCGCUAUAAGAUGAGCUUACGUCGGAUUAGCUUGUUGGUGGGGUAAUGGCCUACCAAGGCGACGAUCCGUAGCUGGUCUGAGAGGACGAUCAGCCACACUGGGACUGAGACACGGCCCAGACUCCUACGGGAGGCAGCA